AAAUUGGGAUGGUUACUUUUAUUCUUAAUGACAACUCAGAAAGAGAGUCCUAUUUCCUCUCAUCACAUUUUGCAAUGGUGAACCAUUGAUGCAUCUUCUUCAAUUGGCAGAGAGUCAAAGCAGAGAAGAAUUCCACUCAUUAGAUUGGUAUGAUCCUUAAAACCGGCUGAGCACAAGCAUAAAUGUCAGGAGCGAUUCUGCUGCAUUUUUUAGAGUACGCUGCAUCAACACUUCAGAUUUAUCCAGGUCCAAUAUUUGUUGGUUGCUUAUCAAAGAGGGAAGAGAAGAUGUUUCAAGAAGGGAAAAAAUACAAAAAAGAAAAAAAAAAAAGAUGG